AUAUUUAUUUAGGACAAAAUGACUGUUUCCCCUUCUGAUUUGUGAUGGGUUGUGACUACUGUAGUAGUUAAUGACUAACUGACCCGCUCCACCACUCACACCCAUUGGUCACUAGUCCAUACAGACAGACAGAGAGGGGUAUUUGACCGGUGUGUGUUCUCAAGGUUGGAAGACAUGACAGUGUUCAGGAGCAGCGUUCCGGUACAGUAAGUUCAGCUGACAAGUUCAGCCAACAGAAACGCGCUGCUCAAACAGACUUUCCAACACAACACUAGAACUCUUCUAAGUCAAGCUGUGUGUCAGUCAGCUGUGUGUCAGUCCGCUGUGUGUCAGUCAGCUGUGUGUCAGUCCAUUGUGUGUCAGUCAGCUGCAGG